rnacentral:rRNA from 1 species
CAUCCUUUGAUUUUGGGGAGGAUAGAAAGCGAGCGGCACUUAUAAUACAUGCAAGGUAGCUCUCAAGCGCGAGAGAAUAUCGCACAGGUGAGUAACGUUCCGGAACUAAAGAAGGCCGGAGCCAUAUUAGGUAGAUGGGGAGGAAAGCCCACCAUGCCAAGGAUGUGUAGCCGAGAGGUCACAGUUCCAACAAAAGGGAAACUCAGACAGAGGCAGCAGUAGAGGAUAUUGUGCAAUGUAUGAAAGUACGACACAGAGAUGUCGCAUAAAUAGGCUGUCAAAUAUACGUGCCAGCAGACGCGGUUAUACGUAAAGCCUAAGUUUUUAUCAGGAAAGGCGUAAAGGGUGUGUAGGUGAAACUAGGGGAGUUUUAAGGGGGUGAAUGGAAUUUUUAUGUAGCGGUAGAAUGCUUUUAUAUAAAAGAGAACACCAGAGGCGAAGGCUAUUUACUAAUUAAAACUGACACUGAGACACGAAAGUGGGGGGAGCAAACAGGAUUAGAUACCCUGGUAGUCCCUACCGUAAACUAUGAAGAUUAGACCCAAGGUCGACAAAAACUUAAGAGAGUUCCGCCUGAAGAGUACGGUCGCAAGAUUAAAAUUCAAAAAAUUUGGCGGUUCACUAAACCAAUUAGAGGAGCGUGUGGUUUAAUUCGAUAAUACGCGAGAAACCUUACCAAGGCUUGAAUAUUUAGAUACAGGUAUUGCAUGGCCGUCGUCAGUUCGUGUUGUGAAAGAAAUAGAACGAACUCAACCCAAACCUGUAAUUGCUCUUUACAGAUUAAGGAUGACGUCUGGUCCUUAUGAUCUUGAUGCUUUGGGCGGCACAUGCGCUACACUUUCUUACACAAAGAGUGUGAAGUAAACUCGAAAGUAAGAGUCCGGAUUGACCUCUGAAAGGGGGUCAUGAAGUCGGAUUUAAUAGUAAUCGUAAAGCAGAGCGUUUCGGUGAAUAAGGCUCUAGUGUUCGUACAAAUCGCCCGUCACCUCUACCAAAUAAGAGAAACCUGAAGCGUCAAUCUUAUGAGGUAGAGAAAGUCGNAACACAGUGAGGGUAUUGGAAAAUGUCCUCGGACUAAU